rnacentral:misc_RNA from 1 species
AAAAGUGAUUAAAUUUCUUAAGCAUAAAAUGAAAUUGGAUACAUCCAACCCUGAUUCGACAACCCACUGCAGCAUUGAGACGACAAAUUUUCUCCGUUUAUGGCUUUGGGUGAAUCAACUAAGGGUUAUUCGUACUCUCAACACUUUGGAGCUCAAUCUGUUGUAGAUCCCCUUAUGGGUUGGGUUAAACCAGAGGCUAUGAAAUCAUUUAAUAGGCGAUAACCUUUUUUGUUUUUUU